rnacentral:rRNA from 1 species
AGUCGAGGGGUAUAGUAGCAAUACUAGAGACCGGCGCACGGGUGCGUAACGCGUAUGCAAUCUACCUUUUGCAGAGGGAUAGCCCAGAGAAAUUUGGAUUAAUACCUCAUAGUAUAACGACUCGGCAUCGAGAUGUUAUUAAAGUCACAACGGCAAAAGAUGAGCAUGCGUCCCAUUAGUUAGUUGGUAAGGUAACGGCUUACCAAGACUACGAUGGGUAGGGGUCCUGAGAGGGAGAUCCCCCACACUGGUACUGAGACACGGACCAGACUCCUACGGGAGGCAGCAGUGAGGAAUAUUGGACAAUGGGCGCAAGCCUGAUCCAGCCAUGCCGCGUGCAGGAUGACGGUCCUAUGGAUUGUAAACUGCUUUUGCACAGGAAGAAACAACGCUACGUGUAGCGUCUUGACGGUACUGUGAGAAUAAGGAUCGGCUAACUCCGUGCCAGCAGCCGCGGUAAUACGGAGGAUCCAAGCGUUAUCCGGGAUCAUUGGGUUUAAAGGGUCCGUAGGCGGUCUUAUAAGUCAGUGGUGAAAUCUCCCCGCUCAACGGGGAAACGGCCAUUGAUACUGUAGGACUUGAAUUAUUAGGAAGUAACUAGAAUAUGUAGUGUAGCGGUGAAAUGCUUAGAGAUUACAUGGAAUACCAAUUGCGAAGGCAGGUUACUACUAAUGGAUUGACGCUGAUGGACGAAAGCGUGGGUAGCGAACAGGAUUAGAUACCCUGGUAGUCCACGCCGUAAACGAUGGAUACUAGCUGUUGGGCGCAAGUUCAGUGGCUAAGCGAAAGUGAUAAGUAUCCCACCU